CAAAAUAUAUAAUUGUCCAAUUUCACAAGAAUCAGAAAUGUGACACUGAGUGAUGUUAGUUAUAUUAUGAUUCACUGGCAAUUGCAGUAAUAUGCGCUUUUCGUAAAUAAUCCUUCUUACCUUUUCUGUAUUGUCUUUUCUCAAACUUGCUGUUAAAUAAUUUUUUACUUGUUUGUAUCUUAAACGGCCACUCAUACCAUGCUUGAUUGCCAAAUUUUUAAUUGUGUUGAAUUUUUAUCUGACAAAUAGGUGUCAUCUGGCUGGAAAUGACACAAAAAGGUGACAAAAGAAAGUAAUUUUGUCAGAGAUUUUUUUUUUCAUCUACAGAACAUUCCAUGUUCACAGCUAUUCACACUCUUUCUCAAAAAAAAAAAAAACUGUGUAAAAGUCUUCAUUUUUCAUCACAGCAGUUAUUUUGCACAUUUCCACUGGGAUUUUGGACCACUCCUCUGCAAAGAUCUCCAGGUCCUUGAUGUUGGAAGGCUUCCUGUCCAUCAAUCUGGUCUUCAGUUGUCUUAACACAUUUUCAAUUGGAUUCAGGACUGGACUCUGGCUUGGACCACUUUUGAUGUGUGUUGUGGGUCGUUAGAUAACUCGUAACAUACAGCAGAAGGGGUCAAGAAAUGGUUGGCAGAGAACAAUAUCAAUAUUUUAGAGUGGCCAAGUUUCAAACUCUGCUCUAGUUUGUCUUCAUUUUUCAUAUUGCCUGUGAAUAAUUUUGCUGGCUUCCAUGGCAGCUAACACUAUAAAUCAGGGGUCACCACACUCAGUCCUGGAGGACCAGUGUUCUGCAGAGUUUAGCUCAAACUUGCCGCAGUUCACCUGCCUGAAAGUUUUUAGUAUACCUGGCAAGACUUUGAUUAGCUAGUUCAGGUGUGUUUAAUUAGGGUUGGAGCUAAACUCUGCAAGGCACCAGCCCUCCAGGACCAAGUUUGGUGACCCCUACUAUAAAUAAAUGCAUAAUCGCUUACUUUAAUGUUCUCUGUAUUUACUUCUGUAUGACUCAGUGCUGUGUGACGUUUUCAAGAAUUGGGCUAUUUUUUUUUCUUUGUUGCUGUAGGUUGUUUUUAAAGUCUGUGGGUUGAAGUGACCUCACUAAUGCGAUAUUAAGGGCCAUUUUCAAACAUGUAUAACAUUUUCUGUGUAUAUAUGCAUAGUUCAUUUAUUUAUUUAUUGCCCUAGUUGCUUGGAAUUUGCUUGGUGAGCUCAUCAACAUACAUUAAAAUACAUACAUACACAUACAUAAAUCCAACUAUACAUGGGAAAAUUAAGGAAGCAUUCACAAACAAACUAACAAUUGAUGCUAAUUGCUGUCUAAUUUAUUUCUGUGUUCCAGUGCCUGGUGUUCUAAGGUUCACUUCUUGGCUUGAUGAAUGAAGUUUUAGCAAUCUCAACAAUGGACUCGUUUCCUUCCUUUUUGGUGUCUCCUGUACUUUCUGUUUGGAGGUCAUUGCAUGUGUCUGAUUGAGCAACUGUCAUUAUGCAUUUCUGUUUGCAGUGCUUUGCUUAAACUUUUGAACCCUUAGCAACAAUAAAAGUCUUUGGAGUUUUCCAUUUG